rnacentral:rRNA from 1 species
UGCCUUUUGGUUCGGAAUAACUCAGGAAACUUGUGCUAAUACCGAAUGUGCCCUUCGGGGGAAAGAUUUAUCGCCAUUAGAGCGGCCCGCGUCUGAUUAGCUAGUUGGUGAGGUAACGGCUCACCAAGGCGACGAUCAGUAGCUGGUCUGAGAGGAUGAUCAGCCACACUGGGACUGAGACACGGCCCAGACUCCUACGGGAGGCAGCAGUGGGGAAUCUUGCGCAAUGGGCGAAAGCCUGACGCAGCCAUGCCGCGUGAAUGAUGAAGGUCUUAGGAUUGUAAAAUUCUUUCACCGGGGACGAUAAUGACGGUACCCGGAGAAGAAGCCCCGGCUAACUUCGUGCCAGCAGCCGCGGUAAUACGAAGGGGGCUAGCGUUGCUCGGAAUUACUGGGCGUAAAGGGCGCGUAGGCGGAUCGUUAAGUCAGGGGUGAAAUCCCGGGGCUCAACCUCGGAAUUGCCCUUGAUACUGGCGAUCUUGAGUAUGAGAGAGGUAUGUGGAACUCCGAGUGUAGAGGUGAAAUUCGUAGAUAUUCGGAAGAACACCAGUGGCGAAGGCGACAUACUGGCUCAUUACUGACGCUGAGGCGCGAAAGCGUGGGGAGCAAACAGGAUUAGAUACCUGGUAGUCCACGCCGUAAACGAUGA